rnacentral:pre_miRNA from 2 species
GCCACAAAAGAGAAACAAAUUGAAUGUGAGUCUCUCACAUGGCUGGUCUAGCUGACUUGUUUCUAAUAUUGCUAGCUGCCUUGUGAAGGGCUUACGUGUUUUUGUAGC